CGACGCAACGCGCAGAACCUUACCUGGGUUUGACAUCUCGGGAAUCUUGUGGAAACACGAGAGUGCCCUUCGGGAGCCCGAAGACAGGUGCUGCAUGGCUGUCGUCAGCUCGUGUCGUGAGAUGUUGGGUUAAGUCCCGCAACGAGCGCAACCCUCGCCUUAGUUGCCAGCAUUCAGUUGGGCACUCUAGAGGGACUGCCGGUGUCAAACCGGAGGAAGGUGGGAUGACGUCAAGUCCUCAUGGCCUUUAUGUCUAGGGCUACACACGUACUACAAUGGCCGGUACAAAGGGCAGCCACUCAGCGAUGAGGACGCUAAUCCCAUAAAGCCGGUCUCAGUCCGGAUCGCAGUCUGCAACUCGACUGCGUGAAGUUGGAAUCGCUAGUAAUCGUAGAUCAGCAUGCUACGGUGAAUACGUUCCCGGGCCUU
rnacentral:rRNA from 1 species